rnacentral:rRNA from 1 species
GUCUACUUCAUGCCACCCUGAUCCCCUCUAAUCUGGGAAGCUAAGCAGGGCGGGGUCUGAUUAGUACUUAGAUGGCAGGAAAUGGAGGGGUGGGAAGUUGGAGGAGGGCAGUCU